rnacentral:rRNA from 1 species
CCUACGGGGCGCUGCAGUGGGGGAUAUUGCACAAUGGGCGCAAGCCUGAUGCAGCCAUGCCGCGUGUGUGAAGAAGGCCUUCGGGUUGUAAAGCACUUUCAGCGGGGAGGAAGGCGUUAAGGUUAAUAACCUUGGCGAUUGACGUUACCCGCAGAAGAAGCACCGGCUAACUCCGUGCCAGCAGCCGCGGUAAUACGGAGGGUGCAAGCGUUAAUCGGAAUUACUGGGCGUAAAGCGCACGCAGGCGGUCUGUCAAGUCGGAUGUGAAAUCCCCGGGCUCAACCUGGGAACUGCAUUCGAAAGUGGCAGGCUAGAGUCUUGUAGAGGGGGGUAGAAUUCCAGGUGUAGCGGUGAAAUGCGUAGAGAUCUGGAGGAAUACCGGUGGCGAAGGCGGCCCCCUGGACAAAGACUGACGCUCAGGUGCGAAAGCGUGGGGGGCAAACAGGAUUAGAUACCCGGGUAGUC